GCCAGACUCCUACGGGAGGCAGCAGUGGGGAAUAUUGGGCAAUGGGCGCAAGCCUGACCCAGCAACGCCGCGUGAAGGAAGAAGGCUUUCGGGUUGUAAACUUCUUUUCUCAGGGACGAAGAAAGUGACGGUACCUGAGGAAUAAGCCACGGCUAACUACGUGCCAGCAGCCGCGGUAAUACGUAGGUGGCAAGCGUUAUCCGGAUUUACUGGGUGUAAAGGGCGUGUAGGCGGGACUGCAAGUCAGGUGUGAAAACCACGGGCUCAACCUGUGGCCUGCAUUUGAAACUGUAGUUCUUGAGUACUGGAGAGGCAGACGGAAUUCCUAGUGUAGCGGUGAAAUGCGUAGAUAUUAGGAGGAACACCAGUGGCGAAGGCGGCCUGCUGGACGAUGACUGACGCUGAGGCUCGAAAGCGUGGGGAGCAAACAGGAUUAGAUACCCUAGUA
rnacentral:rRNA from 1 species